rnacentral:lncRNA from 1 species
GCAUUACCGAAGAGGCAAAGUUGUUUUUGUAGUUUCUUCGGGCUUGCUUAUCUUGUGAUACUCUAAACAAAUGCGAGUUAGGGGCUACCCAGAGUUGUGAUAGAAAUAAACUAAAUUUCCAGCGGAUUGGCAGGCCACUUCCUGGAUGAUGGCCAGUUUUGCCGUUUUUGAACACUGGAACGAGCAAUGAUUGCCACAAGGAUUUCUUCUGAAAAUCCCCGUUUCCUUUCAGGGCUUUGUUUCCUUAAGUGGUUUCUAUACUAUCGAGGCCCAUUUUCCCCUGAGAGUCCCCAUUUACGUAUUUUUAAAGAAGGGGCUCAGUAGCUUGAGGUGUAGCUAUUCCAGAAGCUCUUUUCUGAAGAGAGGUGGUGUGGGUAAAGGUUCCCAAGAGUGGGCCGGGUGAUGUGGGGUGACUUUUGUACUCUGUUUCGUUAUGACACCUACAGUAACCCUGCAGAGGAUUACUCCCAGCUGCCAGGCUGGGGUAUUUUUUUUUUUUUUCUUACCAGAAGCCCAGGGUGCAAAAAUCUGACCCUUUCUCACCUCCCCUACCGCUACUCUCCUAUUCCAAGUCAUUACAUAUUACUUAAGACUACCGCAAUAGAAACUUACCUCGUUUGUCUACUUCCAUUAUUGCCAUUACAGUUAAACAUAAGGCAGCCAGAGUGCUUUUUAAAAAUGUAAGGUCUGGCCGGGCGCGGUGGCUCAUGCCUGUAAUCCUAGCACUUUGGGAGGCGGAUGUGGGCGGAUCACUUGAGGUCAGGAGUUCGAAACUCGUUUGAAACCAGGCCAACAUGGUGAAACCCGUCUCUACGAAAAAUACAAAAAAAAAAAAAAAUUACCCGGCAUGGUGGAGCGCGCCUGCAAUCCCAGCUACUUGGGAGGCUGAGGCAGGAGAAUUGCUUGAACCCGGAGGCGGAGGUUGCAGUGAGCUGAGAUCGCACCACUGCACUCCAGGCUGGGCAAUGGAAUGAGACUCCGUCUCAAAAAAAAAGUAAUGUCGUAUUAUUUCCCCAGUCCCCACCCUGCUCAAAACCUCCAAUUCCCAUCACAUAAUAAAAGUCAAAAGUAUGAUAGCCUUAGAGGCCAUCAAAAAAUGAAUUGCCUCUAAGGAGGACCCUACAUGAUCUGAUCUAGCACCUGCCUAUUUAUCUGAUUCAUCUCCUCCCACACUGCCUAGCUCUGCUCUAGCCUCACUAGCCUUACUGUCACUCCAGUCAAAGCAUGUCCCAGCCCUAGGGUUUUUUUCCUUUUCUUGGAAUGUCCAUCUACUAGAUAUUUACUAGACUUGAGGUGUCUAUUGAAAUCCUACUUCCUAACACAGGCAGCUCUUGACUAUUGUAACUAAAAUGGAACCUCAUGUCAUCCUCCUCUAUCCCCUUACUCUGCACUGUUUUUUUAAUAACAUUUUUUACCUAUAACAUUUAAUCUAAAAUUAUGUUUGUGAUCCAGCUAUACUACUAGAAUAUAAAUUCUUGAGGGCAAGGACUGUGUUUUUAUCAUCUUUGUAAUCUCAACACCUAGAAGAGGGCUACAGCACAAAGUAGCUAUUUAAUGCCCCACCGUCCUAUUCAUUCUUUCAUUCAUUCAGUCAACAACUAUUGAAUUCCUGCUCUGGAAGGCCCUGUUCUAUGUGCUGGGGCUGCAACAGUGAAUAGAACCAAGAUUCUUGCAUUCAUGGAACUUAUUAGUGCAAGGGUUGGGAGCAUAGGAGGAGGGGAGAGACACACAGAUAAUAAAGUUAUAAAGAGUACUGUAAAGGAAAAUAAAGCAGAAUAAAAAUGGGUUACCUGGAUGGGUGUGCUCUUUUACAUAGGGGAUUCAGAGAAGGCCCCUCUGCUGAGGUGACAUCUAAAUAAAGGUUUGAAGUGAGACAAUAAGCUAUACAUACUUGGGAAAGAAUAUUUCAAGCAGAAGAAACAACAAGGUAAAGACCCUGCAGCUUGAGUGUGCUUGGCAAGGAAGCCACUGUGGCAAAAGAAUAGAUAGGAACUUAGUUUGGAGAAACAAGAUGGGAGCCAGAUCACUUACGGACUUAUGGACCAAAGAAAGGACUUUGAAUUUUAUCCUAAGAAUGCUAGGAAGCCAUGGAGGGUUUUGAGUAGAAGAGUGGCAUGAUCUGAUUUAUAAUUGAAGAUGUUCACUCUGGUUA